GACGAACGCUGGCAGCGUGCCUAACACAUGCAAGUCGAGCGGAGAAAUUAGAGCUUGCUUUAAUUUCUUAGCGGCGGACGGGUGAGUAACACGUGGGCAACCUGCCCUUGAGAGGGGGAUAACACAGAGAAAUUUGUGCUAAUACCGCAUAACAUUUAGACUUCGCCUGGAGUUUAAAUCAAAGGAGUAAUCCGCUCAAGGAUGGGCCCGCGGCGCAUUAGCUAGUUGGUGAGGUAAUGGCUCACCAAGGCGACGAUGCGUAGCCGACCUGAGAGGGUGAUCGGCCACAUUGGAACUGAGACACGGUCCAGACUCCUACGGGAGGCAGCAGUGGGGAAUAUUGCGCAAUGGGGGAAACCCUGACGCAGCAACGCCGCGUGAGCGAUGAAGGCCUUCGGGUUGUAAAGCUCUGUCUUUGGGGACGAUAAUGACGGUACCCAAGGAGGAAGCCACGGCUAACUACGUGCCAGCCGCCGCCGUAAAAC
rnacentral:rRNA from 1 species